GACGUAGGGCGCGAGCGUUGUCCGGAUUUAUUGGGCGUAAAGAGCUCGUAGGCGGCUUGAUGCGUCGGCUGUGAAAACCCGCGGCUUAACCGUGGGCUUGCAGCCGAUACGGGCAGGCUAGAGUUCGGUAGGGGAGACUGGAAUUCCUGGUGUAGCGGUGAAAUGCGCAGAUAUCAGGAGGAACACCGAUGGCGAAGGCAGGUCUCUGGGCCGAUACUGACGCUGAGGAGCGAAAGCGUGGGGAGCGAACAGG
rnacentral:rRNA from 1 species